rnacentral:rRNA from 1 species
UACGUAGGGCGCGAGCGUGUCCGGAUUUAUUGGGCGUAAAGAGCUCGUAGGCGGCUUGUCGCGUCGACUGUGAAAUCCCACGGCUCAACUGCGGGUCUGCAGUCGAUACGGGCAGGCUAGAGUUCGGUAGGGGAGACUGGAAUUCCUGGUGUAGCGGUGGAAUGCGCAGAUAUCAGGAGGAACACCGAUGGCGAAGGCAGAUCUCUGGGCCGUAACUGACGCUGAGGAGCGAAAGCGUGGGGAGCGAACAGG